rnacentral:snRNA from 1 species
UUGUUUUCUUUGGCAUCACAUAUACUAAAAUUGGAAUGAUAUAGAACUUAGCAUGGCCACUGCACAAGAAUGACACACAAAUUCAUGAAAUGCUCCAUAUUUUU